GUAAGCCCAUCACCCAACUUCCCUUCCUAGCUUCCUCACGACCGUCGAUAUUGUUUCGCCUCUUCCAUUUCUCCAUAUUGAUUUCUGCAAAUCCGUUUAUUUGGAGUUACGACGAUCCAAUAUCAAAUCACUCAAUCUUUCUUAACUCUUAUCUUCAUACGCGAUUCUAUCCUUCCACCUCCCUUAACUCCUAUCUUCAUAAGAGACAUAGAUAGGUCGAUGAGGAGCUGCAGAGGCAGAGAGGAAGCUCAAAAAAAAAAACAGAAGAAGAGGCCUCAGAGCGAGACGAGUGUUUUCACAGAGAGAAGCCGCUAGAAUGUGACAAGAGACAGCACUUCCUUGGGAGAAAAAUCUGAGAAAGGAUCUCUACACAAAGAUGAAUCGACUGUGGUGAACUAAACACAACAUUGGACGACCCUCAGCUUUCAUCAGUGGCAGGUGCAUAUCAGUAAUCAGCUCAUUAGUUCACAGACUCUCAAGCCAAUCCAUAAAGGAACGUGGAUUUCAGAAUUUAUUUGUCAAAAAUACAGAUAAUCACAUUCUGAUUGCUGAAGCAGGAGCAAUCCCUGUUUUGAUUAACCUUUUAACCUCACAGGAAUUCCGACCCAAUACUUGCAUCAUCAGCCUCUCUAUAUGACAACAACAUAUGGCUGAAGUCACUUCGGUAGUUCAAGUCCUUAGAUCUAAAACCAUGGAAGCAAGAUAAAAAAAGCAGCAGCGUUUGUGACGUCAAACAUUUGGAUGAAGCUCUCAAACGAUUUACAUCUAUUCGGAUCCAACUGCUUUCUCCCGUAGAAAAGUCAUCAGCUGGGCAAGGUUAAUUAACCACUCAGUUGAAACAUAAGGAUCUCUUUCGUGUUGAUCGAUCAUAACCUGAGCUUUUUAUAAUUUUUCUUGUGAGAAGCCAAUGGAGUAUGGAAAGAAAUUAACCAAUCCUUAACACUUAAUAAUCAACUCGACUAUCUCCCUCCUUUGGUUGUGUACGGUAUUUUAUUUAUUUAUGAAAAAUAUUAUUCUGAUUAGUCUAGACGUUUUCUUUACCAUGUCACUGUAUGUUAUAUGGUUGCACAGAGGCUUGGUGACUACCUGAUUGAAUCAGGGCUCUGAAACUCAAGCUGCUGCUAUGUUCAUGACACCAAUAUUGUCUUCAUAUUGAGAGGAAAACUAUUUAUAUUAUGAAAUGUGAUCGGUCAUUUUAAUAUUCAAACUAUGUCUUACCUUCUAUCAUGUUAUGGAUCUCGGGAUUGUAUGAUUCUAAAGCAUUCUGGUAUUGUCUCCAUUUGUGUCAAGUUGAAAAUAUUAAUUCGUGGCAGUGUCAUACCAUAGCUUUUAUGGA